rnacentral:tRNA from 1 species
GGAGGCUUAGCUCAGUUGGUUCAGAGCAUUACCUCGACAAGGUAAGGGUCGCUGGUUCGAGCCCGGCAGUCUUCA